AUUGUAGCAAUACAAGGCAUACGGCUCAGUAACGCGUAGUCAACCUAACCUAUGGACGGGAAUAACCUCGGGAAACUGAGAAUAAUGCCCGAUAGAACAUUAUACCUGGAAUGGUUUAUGUUCCAAAUGAUUUAUCGCCGUAGGAUGGGACUGCGGCCUAUCAGUUUGUUGGUGAGGUAAUGGCCCACCAAGACUAUUACAGGUACGGGCUCUGAGAGGAGUAGCCCGGAGAUGGGUACUGAGACACGGACCCAGGCCCUAUGGGGCGCAGCAGGCGAGAAAACUUUGCAAUGUGCGAAAGCACGACAAGGUUAAUCCGAGUGAUUUCUGCUAAAGAAAUCUUUUGUUAGUCCUAGAAACACUAACGAAUAAGGGGUGGGCAAGUUCUGGUGUCAGCCGCCGCGGUAAAACCAGCACCUCAAGUGGUCAGGAUGAUUAUUGGGCCUAAAGCAUCCGUAGCCGGCUCUGUAAGUUUUCGGUUAAAUCUGUACGCUUAACGUACAGGCCGCCGGGAAUACUGCAAAGCUAGGGAGUGGGAGAAGUAGACGGUACUCGGUAGGAAGUGGUAAAAUGCUUUGAUCUAUCGAUGACCACCUGUGGCGAAGGCGGUCUACUAGAACACGUCCGACGGUGAGGGAUGAAAGCUGGGGGAGCAAACCGGAUUAGAUACCCGGGUAGUCCCAGCUGUAAACUAUGCAAACUCAGUGAUGCAUUGGCUUGUGGCCAAUGCAGUGCUGCAGGGAAGCCGUUAAGUUUGCCGCCUGGGAAGUACGUACGCAAGUAUGAAACUUAAAGGAAUUGGCGGGGGAGCACCACAAGGGGUGAAGCCUGCGGUUCAAUUGGAGUCAACGCCGGG
rnacentral:rRNA from 1 species